UUAAGGCUCCUACAGCAUGAUAUAUAUACUAAAUGUAAAGCUAAAAAAAAACCAGUGAGAACUCUCCUAAAAGGAAGGUGAUGGGAGGAGGAGAUAAUUGUGAUAAAAGCUAAGGUUGACCUAAAGGUGUUACUAAAUUGCACAGCAAGUUUAAUGCUGGAUCUGGCAGCCAAAGGUGUGCAUAUGGCUACUUAUUCCACCUGAGUGGGCACUAGGCAAGCUUCUCGAAGAUGCUUUUACUUGAUACUGAGAUAACCAUCAUCCAUAAUAUUUUUGAGUGCAUGAAAUUUACUAGGGCUAGGCACUUGCUGACACCUUUGCAUGCAUUAUCUAAUUCUCACACUAACAUUAAGAGAGAGGACCGAGUAGUGGCUCCAAGUGUGAACUCCAGAAUCAGGAAGCUCAGGUUGGAUCUUAGCUCUGCCACUCACACGCUGCGUGACCUUGGCUGAUCCCUUUCCCUCUCUCAUACAUAAACAGAAAUAUCAGUCAUACCUUAAAAUGGCUGGGGACAUUCAAUGAUUUAAUAUACACAAAGCAUGCAGUAUCUGGCUCUUAGUAAGUACUUGCCAUUAUUAUCAUUAUUUCUAUUUGACAGAUAAGGAAAUUGGGUCUUAGAGAGGUUAAGUGGCCGGCCCAAAGUCCCCACAGCCAUAUCAAAUUGGCACCAGAUCUAAUUUGACCCCUCUUAACCACUUCACACGCUGACUCAGAAGCUUUGGGCUGCUCUUGGCAACCUCUUGGGUGCAAAUAAGAAAUUCCUCAGUAUUUGCCUUGAGCAAGUUGGGGAGGCUGCUCUGAAGCUACAUGGUGUCUCAGAUAUUGCCAGCUGUCCUGGGCUCUCUGGAGUCCCUUGUCCACAUCGUUAAUGUUCCACUCUCUCUGGUGAAUGUUUCUCAACUGUGGCUUAUCUUUGGGGAACUUAUUCCAGCUGUUUGACUUGGUGAGUCCACUGGGAUAAUAUCCAUUUUCAAUGCAACUUUAAGUUUAAAUAAUGUGGGAGUUGCAUUAAACAUUAUGGUAUAUAUUUGUUUAUGGAUUCUAUUUAUUUAUGUUUAUGCUGAGCCACCCAUCUCUUCCCAAACACAAUUGAAAAUAGCAGAAAUUUAGGUCAAUUGCUACUACAUUUAAAGUCCGCUUCAAUAUUACAUCCCCUAGAAAGAUGCUAGCCUUGUUUUUUCCCACGCUCUGAGAAUACACGUUUCCCUAGGCCUGGGUAGUGAUGUUGAGGUCCAAUGUGGCUGUAAUUUCCCCCCUCCCCACCAGGUGUCCCACCGGUCCCUGCUAUCUGACAGGCAGCAGGAAAAAUGGCCAUCUUCACCCCUCCAAAGGGGACCGAGGAUUUGAAGGUGGAUGGUGGAGAGACUGUGGGAAGGAGGGAGGGAGGCUGUGACAAGACUCCCAGAUGCUGCUUCUUGUCUCCAGACAAAGAGAAUUUUUCACAUUAUUUUUCUUUGAUGCAUAGGUGUCUCUCCAUAAAGGCCGGCCAGAUCCCUGCAAUUUAGGAAGCUUUUAUUUCCACUAAUGAACUGGUGUCUGGCCAGGGCUUUUCAUCUCUGAGCUUGAGGUUGGGGCUGCUGUCUGCUUCCCGUUCCCUUUGCCUGAGAGACCCUGACAGCCUCCCUCUCCUCCUCGGCGUCUCCUUUUUCUUCUAGGGGCUGAUUGAAAAAGAGACAAGAAAGAGACUGUUUCUUCUGCCCUGUAAAUUUCCUCAAAUAUCCCUAAAUCAAUGAAGUACCAGUGUGUGACUGUGGCACUAAGUAGCCCUCUUGCCUACAUUAACCUUGGUGGACAUUACUAGACUGUGGUAGAAAUAUUUCCUCUCUGCUCUUAAGUAAGACUGGCAUUUGCUUCUCUUGCAGGGAGGAGUAAGGGAAUUUGGAUCCACUGACAAAAAUUUAGUCACUGGAGCAUUUUAAAUUUCAAAGUAAAUCUUUCUUUGCGGGUCAUUGGCUCCUUGCCUUUCAUCAGUCCUGCCUUUUUCUUCCCUUUUUUCUUUUGGAGGAUCACGCACAUGUUUGAGAGGCUGCUCUGAAGCCACAUGGUCUCUCAAAAAUUGCUGGCUGUACUGGGGCUCUCUGGAGUCCCUUGUCCGUCAUCACGGGUCACCCCAGCAGAACCUUGGCAUCUACCAUAGACCUGAGGUGUCCAAUUCGGGGCAGUGCUCCAAGUGGUCUACAAACUGGUGCCCUGAUUAUAGGUUAUUCUGUGAUCGAAACUUCACCUAGAGAUCUGCCAAGAAUGUGAAUGGGAUGUGUGCAUGUAGCAUCAGUUUUUGGAGCUUCAGUGUGGGCUCUUUCUGUACUAAAAGGCCUUGAUAACAAAGGCCAGAACACAGUCCUGUGGGAGUUUCUAGCUUCUGUACCCACCGCCCCAUGAUAUGCAUGGCUUUUAAUAUUCGGAGAGCCUUUGCCAAUACACAUUUUCUUGUGUACUGGGCAACUGGAGCCCGGAUGCGAUGUAUUAUUGAUAGGAUUGUAAUUUACUCCUCUUAGGUUGUAUCUACAGUGUAUACCAUUAGCACAAAAUAUGAAAUUACCAGUGGUUGUAUAUAUUUGUCUAUUCAGGUUUGGCUCAAUGAUAUUUGCCUUUUGCCUCAAUAAAAGAUCGUGAAUAAUGAAAGCAGGGUAAUAUUAUUUUGUUGUUGUUGUUGUGGCAAGGGAAUUUUGAUGAAACCAUUUUCUCUGCGUUGUGCUUUUGGCGAGCCAUGCUUUGCAAUGAAGACAGGAGGCAUUAAAGAGUGGGGGUUGGACACAGGAGAUGGAUGAGCACCUCGUGCCAGCUCGCAGCACACACUGGCUUCCCUGGCAAGCUGCUCGGGGCCAGGCUUGGGCUUUCUUUUCCUGCAAGAGGGAAUAAGCAAUCUGUGCUGCGCUGGUGGGAGGAGCCCUGCGCCUUUCUUGUGAAGAUAGCAUUUGCGUGAGACUUGGGGUGUGGGGGGACCCAGAAGCACAUCAGGUAGAACCUUUUGUAGUCACAGCAUUGUGCCCUGGCUAGUGUUUGAUGGUCUACCCUCUGGUCACCAUUGCUGGCCAUUUUGGUUCCUGCCUCUACCUGGGCCAGGUGGCACAUAAAUACACAAGCAUUUAUUUCCUUUAAAAAGAUUCCAGGUCAUAGGGCUCAAACUGAGCAGCAAAUAGAAAUGACACACCGUGUCUGUCUUGUGCUUUUUGUUCUGAUCUUGGGGCCUGUUUCAGAACCUUGAAUGGGAGGUGUUUGCUGGUUAACUAGGAGUUUGCUGGACAACCAGCACCCCACAAUUGGAUUUACUACGUAAUGUUUAUGAGUAAACAUCUUCUUAAAAAAUGCCAUGGCUUGGCUUCUUCACCCUUUCGUUGCCUGUGGGCCUCAGAAUGAAGGGGUGGGGGUGACAGAAACCAGGUUUUAAAUCUGUAUUGACUUGACACAGAAAAAUAUUUUGGGGAAAGGUUUAUUCCUUUUAGUUCCUGCUGGCAAUCUGGGACCCUCAGGGGUCAAAAACCAGGGAAGAGUUGGGGGAAGGUGAAGAGACCCAUGUCCCUCAGAGGUCACUGGCUGGGGGACAGGGCUUGGCCAUUCAAGUGGCAGGUAUCCAUCCGCAAAGCUGGAAUCUCCUUUAGAGUGAGCUCCUAAGAAAAACACCACUCAGCCAUGGAGAGCUGAUACAUUUUGCUGCCUGGGGCACAUUCUGGAGGUGAAAACCGGUUUUUCUCAAGACAUGUCAGGGCCAGGCUUUGUUCGGUCUACUUAGCCAGACUGGCUCCUUAAAGGGGACUCCUUUAUCUGAGGAAGGGGACAAUUAUAAAAAUGGCUUGUGAGUGGUGUUCCCUUUAUAACUGGGUUGGACUUCCUUUGGACUUAAGAACGUUCUCUUGUUCUACACCUUCUUCCUACACACACACACACACACACACACACACACAUAUCAAUCACACAGAAUUGCAAAGAGAAUGAAGUCAGUGUUAAAUCUAUCAAAGCAAUCAUAGACUCUGACAACUGAGAAGUAUUAUUUGUUUUUUUCCUCCCAGAUUUCUACUGAGCCUGGUGUUUUAAGCAUAUGUCUUGGGGAGAAGAGACCCACAGAAAGGCAAUUACAAUUGGUGAAUGAUUAAUGUUGGAUCUGACAUUUUUAUGUGUCAAAUAUUUUUAACUGCAUUAACCUUUGCAGAAUUUACACCCAUACUAUGAGAUAUGUAUUGUAUAGCGUCGGAAAUCUCUGCAAUCUGCCUUCACUUAAAUCUUAUUUACAUUUACUUUAUUACAAUAUAAAUGGAUUUGAAAAACCU